GUGGUGGUAGCUCAGUGGUAGAGUGCUUGCCUAGCACAUAUGAAUCAUAGGUUUGAUCCUCAGCACCACA
rnacentral:tRNA from 1 species